UGCAAGUCGAACGAACUCUGGUAUUGAUUGGUGCUUGCAUCAUGAUUUACAUUUGAGUGAGUGGCGAACUGGUGAGUAACACGUGGGAAACCUGCCCAGAAGCGGGGGAUAACACCUGGAAACAGAUGCUAAUACCGCAUAACAACUUGGACCGCAUGGUCCGAGUUUGAAAGAUGGCUUCGGCUAUCACUUUUGGAUGGUCCCGCGGCGUAUUAGCUAGAUGGUGGGGUAACGGCUCACCAUGGCAAUGAUACGUAGCCGACCUGAGAGGGUAAUCGGCCACAUUGGGACUGAGACACGGCCCAAACUCAUACGGGAGGCAGCAGUAGGGAAUCUUCCACAAUGGACGAAAGUCUGAUGGAGCAACGCCGCGUGAGUGAAGAAGGGUUUCGGCUCGUAAAACUCUGUUGUUAAAGAAGAACAUAUCUGAGAGUAACUGUUCAGGUAUUGACGGUAUUUAACCAGAAAGCCACGGCUAACUACGUGCCAGCAGCCGCGGUAAUACGUAGGUGGCAAGCGUUGUCCGGAUUUAUUGGGCGUAAAGCGAGCGCAGGCGGUUUUUUAAGUCUGAUGUGAAAGCCUUCGGCUCAACCGAAGAAGUGCAUCGGAAACUGGGAAACUUGAGUGCAGAAGAGGACAGUGGAACUCCAUGUGUAGCGGUGAAAUGCGUAGAUAUAUGGAAGAACACCAGUGGCGAAGGCGGCUGUCUGGUCUGUAACUGACGCUGAGGCUCGAAAGUAUGGGUAGCAAACAGGAUUAGAUACCCUGGUAGUCCAUACCGUAAACGAUGAAUGCUAAGUGUUGGAGGGUUUCCGCCCUUCAGUGCUGCAGCUAACGCAUUAAGCAUUCCGCCUGGGGAGUACGGCCGCAAGGCUGAAACUCAAAGGAAUUGACGGGGGCCCGCACAAGCGGUGGAGCAUGUGGUUUAAUUCGAAGCUACGCGAAGAACCUUACCAGGUCUUGACAUACUAUGCAAAUCUAAGAGAUUAGACGUUCCCUUCGGGGACAUGGAUACAGGUGGUGCAUGGUUGUCGUCAGCUCGUGUCGUGAGAUGUUGGGUUAAGUCCCGCAACGAGCGCAACCCUUAUUAUCAGUUGCCAGCAUUAAGUUGGGCACUCUGGUGAGACUGCCGGUGACAAACCGGAGGAAGGUGGGGAUGACGUCAAAUCAUCAUGCCCCUUAUGACCUGGGCUACACACGUGCUACAAUGGAUGGUACAACGAGUUGCGAACUCGCGAGAGUAAGCUAAUCUCUUAAAGCCAUUCUCAGUUCGGAUUGUAGGCUGCAACUCGCCUACAUGAAGUCGGAAUCGCUAGUAAUCGCGGAUCAGCAUGCCGCGGUGAAUACGUUCCCGGGCCUUGUACACACCGCCCGUCACACCAUGAGAGUUUGUAACACCCAAAGUCGGUGGGGUAACCUUUUAGGAACCAGCCGCCUAA
rnacentral:rRNA from 2 species